rnacentral:rRNA from 1 species
CAGUACCACGGUAAUACGUAGGUGGCAAGCGUUGUCCGGAAUUAUUGGGCGUAAAGGGCUCGCAGGCUGUUUCUUAAGUCUGAUGUGAAAGCCCCCGGCUCAACCGGGGAGGGUCAUUGGAAACUGGGAAACUUGAGUGCAGAAGAGGAGAGUGGAAUUCCACGUGUAGCGGUGAAAUGCGUAGAGAUGUGGAGGAACACCAGUGGCGAAGGCGACUCUCUGGUCUGUAACUGACGCUGAGGAGCGAAAGCGUGGGGAGCGAACAGGAUUAGAUACCCCCGUAGUCCCUGUCUCUUAUACC